UUCGGGAAACAAAUCGAGUGUCUCAUGUUCUUAUUGUUUAUAUCUCGUUCUUGUUGACCUUGAACUCGUUUUGUCCCGAUCUACUUUUGUGGAGUGUUCCUUUGUGCUAGACCACUUGCAGGUUACUCUAGGAACUACUGGUGAACUUUUGAUUCAAACACUUUUCCCAGGUUCUCCUUGAAACUUGUAAUUCGUUCAAAUUCUUACUCUCGUCGGAAGUUCCUUCACAGUGUAGGAAGUUUCGUUCCUCGGAACUCCCUUCACAGGGUCGGAAGUUCCGACAGACUAAUCCGCUGCGAAGAAUUUUUCAGGUUUUUCACAGGUUCGCCUAUUCACCCCCCCUCCUCUAGGCAUCACCAAGAUCCUUUCAACAUUGAAUAAAAAGAGUUUUCUUUACUUGCAAAACUUGUUAGUAUCACUAUAGAGAUUUUCCUUCUAUGUUCCUGUUCUUGAAUCAGCUGGACUGAAUGGACAAAUGAGAAGGCUUUGGCUAAUAUAUUAGUGAAAAUAUUUUCUCUCUCGAAAAAUGUCACAAUAAUGUUUGGCAAGGUAGGGCGGGUGCAUUCUCUUAUGGGAGUAUGAUAGUCUCAUGGCACCUUUUAUUUCAGCAAGCCAAUAUAUACAACGCAUCCUAUCCCAGGCUCCUCUCUGUCCUCGACGCCCUGUCAGUACUUAUUUCAAGAACUUGAGAUGGCAUAUGCCAGUUUCAAAUUAGAUUACUUUGGUUCAGAGUUAUGAAAAGUUGCUAUAAAUCUCAAUUUUAGUUUUUUGUUAAUUCUGUUUUCAUAUCUGUUCUCUUGAACACUUGUUUGGCACCUACAUUGAGUCUGAUCCAAUAAAAAUUGUUGUUCAGGGCUUGCAUAGGUUCAAGUUCAAUUUCUUGUUAUUUCUAUUUUCAUAUCUGUUCUCUAGAACAGUUGUUUGGCAUCUACAUUGAGUCUGAUCCAAUCAAAGAUUGCUGUUCAGGGCUUCCAUAGGUUCAAGAAAGAAAAUUGCAAUCUCAUCAUUGUGGGUGGAAAGCACAAACAAGAAGCAACACUCUACAAUGAAAUGUGGCAAGAUUCAGAAGCAAUAAUAUGUGCACUUGAAAUUUGCAGUUCUGGCUUUCAACAAUUCUGCUAAAUUUCACUACAAAUCUUAUGGACAGUAGUAUUGGCCAGGCUGCAUUUCAUCAGGCAUGAGCCUUUAAACCAAGUAUUCUAUUGGCGAUGUGAUUAUUACAAAAAUGGAUGGUCACCCUAAAAGCUUUGCCCAUGUGCAAUACAGUUCAUCAACCCUAUCAGCAAAUGGCUUAGUUCUACAGAAAAUUCUCUCCAUAGACAGCGCAGGAAACUUACGAGAAUGGCUGAUGGGCAGGACUUUAAGUGACCGACAGAGGGGGGUUUGAUUAUUACAAUCAUUUGAUGAGUAUUGUUGGCAAUCCCUUUGCUUUCUCUUGGGUUGUAUUCUUAGGAAAAGAUUGUGAUUAGAAUAAUUUUUUUGCAUUGGUUACUAAUUAUGCAAAUUAAGUUCACAAGUAAUGGACCGCAUAUAUAUGUGCGACAUUUUUAUUUCGAAAAAUAAUGGUUGAUAUCGCGUAUUCUAUCUUUA